GACGAACGCUGGCGGCGUGCUUAACACAUGCAAGUCGAACUGAAAGGCCCCUUUGGGGGUACUCGAGUGGCGAACGGGUGAGUAACACGUGAGUAACCUGCCCUUGACUUCGGGAUAACUUCAGGAAACUGGGGCUAAUACCGGAUAGGAAUCCUUGCUGCAUGGUGGGGGUUGGAAAGCUUCGGCGGUUUUGGAUGGACUCGCGGCUUAUCAGCUUGUUGGUGGGGUAGUGGCUUACCAAGGCUUUGACGGGUAGCCGGCCUGAGAGGGCGACCGGCCACAUUGGGACUGAGAUACGGCCCAGACUCCUACGGGAGGCAGCAGUGGGGAAUAUUGCACAAUGGGCGGAAGCCUGAUGCAGCAACGCCGCGUGCGGGAUGACGGCCUUCGGGUUGUAAACCGCUUUCAGCAGGGGCGAAGCUUGUGGUGACGGUACCUGCAGAAGAAGCACCGGCUAACUACGUG
rnacentral:rRNA from 1 species